AUUGAACGCUGGCGGAAUGCUUUACACAUGCAAGUCGAACGGUAGAGGGGGCAACCCCUCGAGAGUGGCGAACGAGUGAGUAAUAUAUCGGAACGUGCCCAGUCGUGGGGGAUAACGUAGCGAAAGUUACGCUAAUACCGCAUACGAUCUAAUGAUGAAAGCGGGGGAUCGAAAGACCUCGCUCGAUUGGCGCGGCCGAUAUCAGAGUAGGUAGUUGGUGGGGGAAAGGAUCGCCAAGCCAACGAUCUGUAGCUGGUCUGAGAGGACGACCAGCCACACUGGAACUGAGACACGGUCCAGACUCCUACGGGAGGCAGCAGUGGGGAAUUUUGGACAAUGGACGCAAGUCUGAUCCAGCCAUCCCGCGUGCAGGAUGAAGGCCCUCGGGUUGUAAACUGCUUUUGUACGGAACGAAAAGGUCUCUCUUAAUACGGGGGGCUCAUGACGGUACCGUAAGAAUAAGCACCGGCUAACUACGUGCCAGCCGCCGCAGUAA
rnacentral:rRNA from 1 species